rnacentral:rRNA from 1 species
GACCUGAUCAGCAUGCCGCGUGAGUGAAGAAGGCCUUCGGGUUGUAAAGCUCUUUUGUCAGGGAAGAAAUCGUGGACUCUAACAUAGUCUGCGGAUGACGGUACCUGAAGAAUAAGCACCGGCUAACUACGUGCCAGCAGCCGCGGUAAUACGUAGGGUGCAAGCGUUAAUCGGAAUUACUGGGCGUAAAGCGUGCGCAGGCGGUUUUGUAAGUCUGAUGUGAAAUCCCCGGGCUUAACCUGGGAACUGCAUUGGAGACUGCAAGGCUAGAGUGUGUCAGAGGGGGGUAGAAUUCCACGUGUAGCAGUGAAAUGCGUAGAUAUGUGGAGGAAUACCGAUGGCGAAGGCAGCCCCCUGGGAUAACACUGACGCUCAUGCACGAAAGCGUGGGGAGCAAACAGGAUUAGAUACCCUGGUAGUCCACGCCCUAAACGAUGUCAACUAGUUGUCGGGACUUAAUUGUCUUGGUAACGCAGCUAACGCGUGAAGUUGACCGCCUGGGUAGUACGGUCGCAAGAUUAAAACUCAAAGGAAUUGACGGGGACCCGCACAAGCGGUGGAUGAUGUGGAUUAAUUCGAUGCAACGCGAAAAACCUUACCU